CGGGGGGAGCAAGCGUUGUUCGGAUUUACUGGGCGUAAAGGGCGUGUGGGCGGCCACCGCAAGUCGACUGUGAAAUCUCCGGGCUUAACUCGGAAAGGUCAGCCGAUACUGCGGGGCUAGAGUGCAGAAGGGGCAACUGGAAUUCUCGGUGUAGCGGUGAAAUGCGUAGAUAUCGAGAGGAACACCUGCGGCGAAGGCGGGUUGCUGGGCUGACACUGACGCUGAAACGCGAAAGCUAGGGGAGCGAACGGGAUUAGAUACCCCGGUAGUCCUAGCCUUAAACGAUGAAUGCUUGGUGUCUGGGGUUUUAUAGUCCCCGGGUGCCGUCGCUAACGCUUUAAGCAUUCCGCCUGGGGAGUACGGUCGCAAGACUG
rnacentral:rRNA from 1 species